rfam:Shewanella sp. phage 1/40, complete genome.
AUCUCGUUAGCUCAGUUGGAUAGAGCAACAGCCUUCUAAGCUGUGGGUCGAAAGUUCGAAUCUUUCACGGGAUA